rnacentral:rRNA from 1 species
AUUGAACGCUGGCGGCAGGCCUAACACAUGCAAGCCGAGCGGGGUUUUCGGACCUAGCGGCGGACGGGUGAGUAAUGCGUAGGAAGCUACCCGAUAGAGGGGGAUACCAGUUGGAAACGACUGUUAAUACCGCAUAAUGUCUACGGACCAAAGUGUGGGACCUCCGGGCCACAUGCUAUCGGAUGCGCCUACGUGGGAUUAGCUAGUUGGGGAGGUAAUGGCUCACCAAGGCGACGAUCCCUAGCUGGUUUGAGAGGAUGAUCAGCCACACUGGAACUGAGACACGGUCCAGACUCCUACGGGAGGCAGCAGUGGGGAAUAUUGGACAAUGGGCGCAAGCCUGAUCCAGCCAUGCCGCGUGUGUGAAGAAGGCCUUCGGGUUGUAAAGCACUUUCAGUAGGGAGGAAGCGUUGUGUGUUAAUAGUACACAGCGUUGACGUUACCUACAGAAGAAGCACCGGCUAACUCUGUGCCAGCCGCCGCCGUAACAC